rnacentral:lncRNA from 1 species
UUCACUCAGCUCCAUCAUGAGGCCUUUGUGGUCUUCCCUCUCGUACAGCCGCAGCCUGUGGGAGACUGUCUACUCGGUCCACAGAAAGAAGGAUGGAAAAAAGCAAAUGAGUCUCUUCCAGAAUUUGUCCAACCAAAGAACAGAUGAACUUGACUACUACAACAGCUUCUUCAUGAUGUCCAAACCCCAAUUUGGCCUCUCUCUGAUCCUUCAUCUAUGCUGCUGUCACAUGGGCCUUCCGGUGAUCUUAUCUGAAGCAUUAAAAGCAAGAACACAAUCUUCAUUCUGUAAGCGCCAGAGUGCUGGAGUGGCAGACAGAAAACGCAAGAGUAAACAAACAAAAACAGAUGGAAAUUAAAGCUCCAGUCCCUACACCUCCCUGGCCACACCUGCCCAGAAGUUCUCCCAGGCCAAGUUUGCUUCUAGAACAACCCUGUUGCAAAGUUAAGGAGCUGUCACACUCCCCAGUCACCCACCGCUGAGUCUAAUGAUUCAUGGGCAGAGCUAGGGCUUUGGGAAUUAAGAUUUGCUUACAAUAAAAUAUCACAUCACUUUAGUGCCUGUUAUUUGAGAAAGCCUUUCUCAAAGGAGAAAACUGAGAGUCAUUGGAAAGUUAAAUGUCAUAUUAUGUAUAUACAGUGAAAGGAAAAUAAAUCUUGGGACCUCAAAAUCACUAAGCUAAAGGGAAAAGUCAAGCCAGGAACUGCUUAGGGCAAACCUGUCUCCCAUUCUAUUCAAAGUCAUCCCUCUGAGGCUCACCUGAGACAAAUGCAUCUCUGAUUGCUUCCUCUCCCCUAUUGUUUAUGUAAAGAUGCAGAGUCAUCGAGCCAGACUAAAUUGUGUAUUCAGUGGAAAGCUGAUCAAGGGCUCAAAGAACCUUUUGUCUCUUAUCUACUGUUUUUUUUUUUGAGACAGAGUUUCGCUGUUGUUGUCCAGGCUGUAGUACAAUGGCGCAAUCUCAGCUCACUGCAACCUCCACCUUCUGGGUUCAAGUGAUUCUCCUGCCUGAGCCUCCCGGGUAGCGGGAUUACAGGCGCCCACCACCACGAUUAGCUAAUAUUUUGUAUUUUUAGUAGAGACGGGCUUUGACUAUGUUGGCCAGGCUGGUCUUAAACUCCGUCAGGAGUUCAGGCGAUCCACCCACCUCAGCCUCCCAAAGUGCUGGGAUCACAGGGGUGAGCCACGCGCCCAGCUCUGUUUCUUAUCCAUGUCUAACCAGGAAGCCCCUACUUCCUGUCUUACCAGACUGAACCAAUUUACAACUUAUACAUAUUGAUUGAUGUCUCAUGUCUCCCUAAAAUGUAUAAAAGCAAACUGUACCCCUGACCACUUUGGGCACAUGUCUCAGGACUUUCUGAGGCUGUGUCAUGGGUGCAUCCUCAACCUUGGCAAAAUAAACCUUCUUUCUGGGUUUUUUUUUUUUUUUGAGAUGGAGUUUCACUCUUGUUGCCCAGGCUGGAGUGCAAUGGCGUGAUCUCGGCUCACCACAACCUCUGCCACCCAAGUUCAAGCAAUUCUCCUGCCUCAGCCUCCCAAGUAGCUGGGAUUACAGGCACGCGCCACCACGCCCAGCUAAUUUUGUAUUUUUAGUAGAGGUUUCUCCAUGUUGGUCAGGCUGGUCUCAAACUCCGGACCUCAGGUGAUCUGCCUGCUUUGGCCUCCCAAAAGUGCUGGGAUUACAGGCAUGAGCCACUGUGCCCAGCCUUGGCAAAAUAAACUUUCUAAAUUGACUGAGACCUGUCUCAGAUAUUUGGGGUUCACUAUUAUAUGCGCACGCACACACACACACACAUAUAUGUAUUUGUUUCUUGAGACAGGGUCUCCCUCUGUCACCUAGGCUGGAGUGCAAUGGCAUGAUCAUGGGUCACAGCCCCCUCAACCUUCUGGGCUCAAGUGACCCUCCCACCUCAGCCUCCUGAGUAGCUGGAACUACAGGCAUGCACCACCACAUCUGGCUAAUUUUCAGUUCAAAUUUCUUUUCUUUUUUUUUUUUUUUUGAGACGGAAUCUUGCUCUGUCACCCAGACUGGAGUGCAGUGGCAUGAUCUCAGCUCAUUGCAACCUACCCUUCCCGGGUUCAAGCGAUUCUCCUGCCUCAGCCUCCCAAGUAGCUGAGACUACAGGCGCGUGCCACCAAGCCCAGCUAAUUUUUGUAUUUUUAGUAGAGAGGGGGUUUCACCAUAUUGGCCAGGGUGGUCUUGAACUCCUGACCUCCUGACCUCGGCCUCCCAAAGUGCUGGGAUUACAGGCGUGAGCCACCGCACCCAGCCUUCAGUUCAAAUUUCAACCUAUCUGACUUUUAAGCUUCCUUUCUAGCCUCCUGCUCUCAACUUAUUUAUUUCCCUCAGCAGCAAGUAUCACCUUCAUUAACUUCUGUUUUUAUGACACUGUAUCCCAUGCCUCCCACACACCACAAUUCUAAGAAUUCUGCAGUCACUGCCCAGAAAAUAUGGAAUCUCAAACUUUAGUUUCAGAUUUGGCCUUUUCUCUAAUUUAUACCUCUAAGUGAGCUAAUAGGUACUGACCAUUAAAUUAGAAUAGAAAUCAGAAGACAGGAUCCUAUCUUCUCAGGAGGAAUAAUCAAAUAGAAAAGUAAGACAAAGCAAGCAAAAGUUUGUUGUUGUUGUUGUUGUUGUUGUUAUUGUCGUUUUGAGAUGGAGUCUCACUCUGUCACCAGGCUGGAGUGCAGUGGCACGAUCUCGGCUCACUGCAACCUCCAUCUCCCGGCUUCAAGCAAGCAAUUCUCCUGCCCCAGCCGCCCGAGUAGCUGGGAUUUAAGAAUAAUGUGAUUAAAUAGGCCGGAUGCCGUGGUUCACACCUGUAAUCCCAGCACUUUGGGAGGCCGAGGCGGGCGGAUCACUUGAGGCCAGGAGUUCGAGAUCAGCCUGGGCAACAUGGUGCAACCUCGUCUCUACUAUGAAUACAAAAAUUGGCUGGGCAUGGUGGUGCAUGCCUGUAAUCCCAACUACUCAGGAGGCUGAGGCAGGGGAAUUGCUUGAACCCGGGAGGCGGAAGUUGCAGUGAGCCGAGAUCAUGCCACUGCACUCCACCCUGGGGGACAGAGCGAGACUCCGCCUCAAAAAAAAAAAAAAAAAAAAAAAGAAUAUCAUGAAAUAGCUUUUAUUUCCAAAAAGAUGGAAGGCAAAGACAGAGCCACACUCACCGGGGGGAUGAGGCAGCAGGAGCGGAUGGAGUCGCUGAGGCCCAUCCAUUGCUGGUAGUUGGGGCAGUCAGUGGUGCAUUCGUAGCUGCGGCCCUGGAAGGCCCUGUCCUCGUAGAAGGUGAUCUGAAAAAUGGAAGAUGUGGGAGCAUGGAGUGAUUGGCCCCCACUGAGGCCACUGCAUUAGGGCCAAGGCUGAGCAUCCGGUACCCAGGACUUACCUUUCCCAUUUUGAAGGAAGUGAGCAGAUGUUUUCUGGUUGCUGUGUGGGACUGCGGGAACGUCACUGUAUGUAUAGCAGCCCUGACUGCUGCCUCCACAGGAAAUCACACAAAAGGGCCCAUUUUGGUGAGUAAGGGGAUUUGCAAGCUCGCUGCUCUCCGUGCCCAGGUCACUGGGGUUGGCUGAAUGGUUUACUCUCAUUCUUUCUGGUAGGUUCGGGUUGUUCUAAUUCACUAAAGCUGUUGUUGCCAUCAAAAUGAAUAGAGUACACUUUUAGUUGAGCAAAAGGAUGGGCGAAAUUCUGUCUCUGUGCUUUUAUUUUAUAGUUUACUCUGCUUAAUUGACUUCUCAAAAGUCAUUAAACUAAGUAAUGAAUUCUGCUCAGGGACUGGUGGUGUUUUUGUGUGUGUGUGUGUGUGUGUUUUAGUUCUAAAAGCCAGAAUUUAAAUAGUAAGGAAUCUUAAAGAAGAGGGAAUCAAGUGAAGUAAUCUGUGAAAGUGUGUUAAAACCCAUAAAGCUUAGUUCAAAUUCAAAAUUCUGUGAUCAGCCAGGCGAGGUGGUGCACACCUAUAAUCCCAGGACUUUGGGAGGCUGAGGCAGGUGGAUUGCUUGAGCUCAGGAGUUAGAGACCAGCCUAGGUAACAUGGUGAGACCCCAUCUCUACAACAAAUACAAAAAUUAGCCCUGCAUGGUGGCGCAUACCUGUAGUCCCAGCUAUUUGGGAGGCUGAGGUGAGAGGAUUGCUUAAGCUCAGGAGGUCGAGGUUGCAGUGAGCCAUGAUUGCACCACUGCACUCCAGCCUGGGCAACAGAGCAAGACCCUGUCGCAAAAAAAAAAAAAAAAAAAUUCUGUGAUCAUCAUUGUUGGUGUUUGGGGGCUUGUCUUGAAUAAAACUGAUACUUGCCUGGAAUUUUGUAGGCUUCUGGGGGCUGGGUAUUAUUUCUUGUUCAUGUCUAUCCCUGAGCCCUAGAGCAGAGGGUUGGCACAUUGCAGGUCCUCAAUAAUUGGCUCUGACCUGAGCAAAAACAGAUAGUUGUGGCUUUCUUCCCCCUUUCAGAUCUUCCUAAGGGCCUAAAUCCCUCCUUCUGCUGGUGGCUGUCCAGAGUCCUGCCUGCUGUUUGGUGUUCCUGCUCUGCCUCAAAUGUUACCACUAAGUGGCUGAUUGGUCUUCUCAAGGCAUGGGACCAAAAGGGCUCAGAGUUGGUCCCUAUUGCUGGCAGAUUGGACAUUCUACAGUGGAAAUAGCUGGAUUAGCCUUAAUAAGUAGAAGUUAAUGCAUAGCCUUCAUCCAUACCACUAUGAACGCUCUCUUAGUGAGCUCACUGCCAGCAGUAGGGUGGCUGAUGGCAGACGCUGACUGGAAUCAAAUGACCAAAUCAUUUUUUCUACUUGGUUGUUUAGUGCCUCUUCAAUGGUGGAUGCCCUACACUGGGCCUUCACAUGGGAUACAACUAUCUUCGCCCUUUGUGCCCAAUCCCAUAUCUCCCUGCACAUUCCUCUACCCCAGACCUUCUUGUCCCUAAUCUUCCAAUCUUUCUCCUUCCAGGCCCUGGACCAGCCAGCCAAGCCACACAUUACUGCUCAAUAAUUCCAUAUAUGCUUGACCUUGGGCUACUUUUCUUUCUGCACCGAGUGAGCAGCCAGGUGCACUACCUCAAGGUUGCCUUUUGGGAGGAUUUCCCUCACUGCUGUCUUUAGGGUGACUCCUGAGUGAGCUAUUCUGCAGCAGCAUUCUAUUUUGGGCUUGUACCCAAAUGCCAUGCCAAUUUAUUAGUGUAUCAAGCUCAGCCUUCCCCCACUCUAUCAGCUGGUCAGAAGGGACCCCUGCAGGCAGUUGUAAGUGUGAGCUGAGAGAGAGCUAUUGCAAUAAUGGUGACUUCAUCCCAUCCCGCAGGGAAGGCUAGGGCUAGAGUUGUCAGGAACUUAGGCAAGUGGACCGGGAAUCUGUGCCUCUGCAUUGCCCCGUAAUUUGAUGUGGGCUGCUGCCAUGGAGAAGUGUAACUUUGGGCAAGGCAGCUUCCUCCAGCAGAAGAAAAUUCUUGGAGACAAACUCAGCUUUAAGCUGUCAGCAUCUGGGAGAAGGAGUGCUUCAGUCCACAGUGGAAGUCCAGGCAGCACCAGAGCGUCCACUACAAGAAGAAAAUAAAGCUGAGAUAACUGCAGUUAACAUUUUGGUGUUUCAUCAUCCCAGCUUUUUUAUAUGUCAAACCCAUGUGUGGUUGUACAGUGUUAUUUAUACUGUGUAGCAUUCUCUUGUUUUCUUCUAAGUCACCUUUCAAAUAAAGUGAUUAGUAAUACU